rnacentral:rRNA from 1 species
UACGUAGGGGGCAAGCGUUGUCCGGAUUCAUUGGGCGUAAAGAGCGUGUAGGCGGCCAGGUAGGUCGGUUGUGAAAACUGGAGGCUCAACCUUCAGAGGUCGACCGAAACCAUCUGGCUAGAGUCCGGGAGAGGAGAGUGGAAUUCCUGGUGUAGCGGUGAAAUGCGCAGAUAUCAGGAAGAACACCCGUGGCGAAAGCGGCUCACUGGCCCGAUACUGACGCUGAGGCACGAAAGCGUGGGGAGCAAACAGG